rnacentral:rRNA from 1 species
CCUGCCCACUGAAAAAAUUUUUUNACUGGCCGCAGUANUUUGACUGUGCAAAGGUAGCAUAAUCAUUANUUUUUUAAUUAAAAGCUUGUNUGAAUGGUNGGACAAAGUAAAUUCUGUCUUUAUUUAAAUAAAAUUAGAAUUUAAUUUUUAAGUUAAAAAGCUUAAAUAUAUAUAAAAGACGANAAGACCCUAUAGAUCUUUAUAUUAUUAUAUUAUAAUUUUAAUAAAGAAUUUUUAAUUUUUUAUAUUAUAUAAUAUUGNAUUGGGGNAAUAAAAAGAUUAAAUUAAUUCUUUUUGAUAUUUUACAUUAAUUUAUGAAUUUUAAUGAUCCAAUUUUUUUUGAUUAUAAGAUUAAGUUACCUUAGGGAUAACAGCGUAAUUUUUUUAGAGAGUUCAUAUCGAUAAAAAAGUUUGCGACCUCGAUGUUGGAUUAAAAAUUGUUUUAGGCGCAGAAGUUUAAAAAUUUGGUCUGUUCGACCAUUAAAUUUUUACAUGAUCUGAGUUCAGACCGGUGUAAGCCAGGUCGGUUUCUAUCUUUAUAAUUUUAUAAUAUUUUAGUACGAAAGGACCAAAUAUUUAAUAUAUUAAUAUUUAUAUUUUGAAUAUUAUUAAUA